CUGGGGCCUACCCCCCCCCGGCUCAUUCCUUUCUGGUGCAAAAAUACAACAGGAAAAGUGGCCUAACUGUGGCUAACGGAAGAAGGAUGCGAUGUUUGUUGCCACCCUGAUUAAUGUUUGCAUUGCCACUUUUGGCCCAGCAAGCAACAACCUUUUGAGAAUUCAAACCCACACAUGAGGACUACGCCCAGGCUGGAACAGGACUCACUGCCAGGAAGACCAGAUUUGGUACCUGGAGGGAGAUGCAUAAGGACAAUGACUCGAUUGCCACAUGAACUGGAAUAAAUCCGGAAUAAUUCACUCAGCUGCAUUGCGAUGUGGGAGUGAAG